GGUGAUUACAAGGAAGUUCCAGCAUAGGGUGGCCCAAUCACGAAGCAGAUAUCUUGUAAAGUAAUGCGAUUGGUCGAUCUCAAUUUUAUCCUAACAUUUAAUUACUUCAUAAGGAGAGCAAGUCGAGCGCAUAUACGAAUCGUAUUGUAGUAUACGUGGUUUAUCUAUCGUUACAUUUCUUCGUGCCGUCGUUUUAAACCUUUUGUGAAACGUAGAAGUUGUAAUCGAUACCUGGAAUCUUUAAUAAAAAGCAAGAUGUUUGUUUUUCAAAAGGCAAUUGGAAAUGCACGAUUGGCAAAACAAAUUGUACAGCAACGGAACAGAUCUGGCAUAGUUGAUUUACCUCCGUUAGUCAAAGUGUCAUUAAUUGAAAAAAUUCUCGCUGGAGUAGCACUUACUGUAUCGAUUUUGGGAACACCUAUAUAUAUUUCAUAUAAUCUCAAAAAUUAUAGAAAGAAAUAAGAUGGCAAAGUAAUUAUAUUCUAUUAUAGUUGGAAUUAGCUGUAACGAUGCUGUGUUAUUUAAAAUUAUCAUAAGAUAAUGUAUUUACAAAUUGAAUAAUAAUUAAAACACAAUUAUAUAACAUUUAAACAAGAAUUCCCUAAUAUUAAUUUGAACAUUUCUAUAGAAAAUAUAUGAUAUUUUUGUCAUCUUUUUAUUAAAAUUAUAUGGAUACAGAUAAAAUGGCACAUCAAUAAUAAAUUUCUGCUGUUCAAGAUGUUAUUUAUUUAUGAUUUGAAAUAUUAACAUUGAUUUUUAUAAUGUCAAAAGCAGAUAACGUUGAGAAAUAAAAAAAAGAACAAAGGAAAAGAAAAGUAGUAAAGGCUACGACGUCGUUUUAACAAGAUUAAUUUAAACAUUAUAAGGAUAUCAUUAAUUGAGUUACAAAAACGCGUGUCGUCUGUUAUGACGUAUAUGUUUACGUUUUUUGAAGCAAGUGGCACAACAUUUUUGUCGUACAAUCGAGGAAACGUCGCACAUGCGUCUAUUAAAUGCCACGCUGGUGUCUCUAUGGACCAAAUUUAGACUAUCCGUCCUGGCCAUUUAUGGUUAACAUUCUUAUAUUUUUCUAUGAAUGACAGAUCAUAGUGGCCUAAAUGGAAAGCCUAAUAAAAGAGACUUGGUACU